rnacentral:rRNA from 1 species
AUUGAACGCUGGCGACAGGCCUAACACAUGCAAGUCGAGCGGAGCGACGGACGGGUGAGUAAUGCCUAGGAAUCUGCCUGGUAGUGGGGGCUAACGUCCGGAAACGGGCGCUAAUACCGCAUACUAUCAGAUGAGCCUAUGUCGGAUUAGCUAGUUGGUGGGGUAAAGGCCUACCAAGGAGACAAUCCGUAACUGGUCUGAGAGGAUGAUCAGUCACACGUGAACGGAGACACGGGCCAGACUCCUACGGGAGGAAGCAGUGGGGAAUAUUGGACAAUGGGUGAAAGCCUGAUCCAGCCAUGCCGCGUGUGUGAAGAAGGUCUUCGGAUUGUAAAGCUCUAUAAGUUGGGAGGCGUUACCAACAGAAUAAGCACCGGCUAACUUCGUGCCAGCCGCUGCGGUAAUUC